GUGUUGGUCUGUUGCUGGAUGCGCUUGAUGGUUGCCCCUUUGGGGCCCACCACCAGUCCCACCACUCGGUAAGGAACCCGCA
ensembl:miRNA